CCGGCGUUCCCGCGCCGUUUGUGUGUGACUUUUAGGAUGUUCAAGGUCACGAUAGCUGAGGACGUUAGCACGAAGAUCGUAUUCUAAUGAAAGCGUGCUGCCAUGCCACAGGGGCGAAAGACCCUCGAUAUCGAUUUUCAAGGACACUUGUCCAGUAUAUCCACGAAAUUACUAUCCGCGCAUGUAUAUUGGUCGAUUUAUUUGGCCUAAGUUGACGAAAUAACGAGGCAUUGAAUAAUUCAGAAAUAACCGCAUAAUUAGAUCGCAUUUACAUAAUGUAGAACAAUUGCUUGCGGCACACAGCAAAUUUUGAAUAUUUUCCUAAUUAAUUUUGCAAUUUUUUCUUUCUUUCGUACGCAAUGUACUUCGAAAGAGAUUGAAAGACCUGCUUACCUUUUACACGCACCUAUAUGUGCAACUAUUUUAUCUACGAUAUAUUCUAGUAAAUAUCGUAAAAAUCAACAGCAAGAAGGUUAUUAUCAUUCUGUUACCAACAACGAAUAACAUAGGAAAUAAUGAGAACAAUUAUUCUACACAUAAAAAUCACUGAGAUUGAGGAAAUUCAGUAAUUAACGAGGUAUAUGAUACUAUAAUAUAUGAUA